ensembl:lncRNA
UUCCCCAGUCUGUCUGUCGCUCUUCCCCAGUCUGUCUGUCUGUCUCGCUCUUCCCCAGUCUGUCUGUCUGUCUCGCUCUUCCCAGUCUGUCUGUCUGUCUCGCUCUUCCCCCAUCUGUCUGUCUGUCUCGCUCUUCCCCAGUCUGUCUGUCUGUCUCGCUCUUCCCCAGUCUGUCUGUCUGUCUCUCUCUUCCCCAGUCUGUCUGUCUGUCUCUCUCUUCCCCAGUCUGUCUGUCUGUCUCUCUCUUCCCCAGUCUGUCUGU